CGGGUACUUGUACCUGGUGGCGAGCGGCGGACGGGUGAGUAAUGCCUAGGAAUCUGCCUGGUAGUGGGGGAUAACGCUCGGAAACGGACGCUAAUACCGCAUACGUCCUACGGGAGAAAGCAGGGGACCUUCGGGCCUUGCGCUAUCAGAUGAGCCUAGGUCGGAUUAGCUAGUUGGUGAGGUAAUGGCUCACCAAGGCGACGAUCCGUAACUGGUCUGAGAGGAUGAUCAGUCACACUGGAACUGAGACACGGUCCAGACUCCUACGGGAGGCAGCAGUGGGGAAUAUUGGACAAUGGGCGAAAGCCUGAUCCAGCCAUGCCGCGUGUGUGAAGAAGGUCUUCGGAUUGUAAAGCACUUUAAGUUGGGAGGAAGGGCAUUUACCUAAUACGUAAGUGUUUUGACGUUACCGACAGAAUAAGCACCGGCUAACUCUGUGCCAGCAGCCGCGGUAAUACAGAGGGUGCAAGCGUUAAUCGGAAUUACUGGGCGUAAAGCGCGCGUAGGUGGUUUGUUAAGUUGGAUGUGAAAUCCCCGGGCUCAACCUGGGAACUGCAUUC
rnacentral:rRNA from 1 species